rnacentral:RNase_P_RNA from 1 species
CAAGUCGGCCAGGCGGUCGCGCCCUGGAGACAGGGUGAGGAAAGUCCGGGCUCCACAGGGCACGGUGCUGGGUAACACCCAGGCGGGGCGACCCGACGGAAAAGUGCCACAGAAAAGCAGACAGCCGGGGCAAUCGCCCCGGUGAUGGUGAAAAGGUGGUGUAAGAGACCACCGGCGCGCGUGGUGACACGGGCGGCCAGGCAACCCCCACCGGGAGCAAGGCCAAGCAGGGGCUAGACCCGCUGCGGCGGGCACGGGGCGGCUCGUCCCGUCCGAGCCCUGGGUAGGCCGCUAGAGGCGGCGGGCAACCGCCGUCCCAGAUAGAUGAUCGCCCACGACAGAACCCGGCUUAUCGGCCAGCUUGGGUG